rnacentral:misc_RNA from 1 species
AAGUCGUAACAAGGUUUCCGUAGGUGAACCUGCGGAAGGAUCAUUAAAAGUAAAUAUGUAUUCUCUCGAAUAUACAUUUUCAAACCCAUCUGCGUACGUUACCCGUUGCUUCCGCGAGGCAGUGAUCCCGGUCACCUCCAGACGAUGCCGAAAGGCCAUCCGACGGGGAGCACUCGCGAAAGGUAUACAUCAAACCCUUGCAAUUUCAUGCCAUCUGUCUGAACCUGUUUAUAACAAAUGUUAAAACUUUCAACAACGGAUCUCUUGGUUCUC